CCUGUCGCCGCGGUGCCACCCGAGGGCUGCAGAGCCAGCAGCUUCGCAGAGAGAAACCGUAGGACUCCACUGCUCAGCUUUUGGUGUAAUUCCUGUCUCCUUUACACCACCCUCACGGGGCUCACACCCAGCAGAUCCGGCUGUUCGAGUUCUCGGAGAAAGCUGCAGCUCAGGAGUUCAUCUCUGAUCACAUAAACUGUUUCGAAGGUGAAGGGAGCCAUGGAGUGAUCCUAUUUUUAUUCAGUUUACUUUUCUCUAGGACACUUGAAAGGGUCCGGGAGGAUUUGGGCUGCACAGCUGCUCUGCUGAGCGCCAGCUCUGGAAACGUCACCUGCACAGAGGUAUGUCAGCCACGUCUCAAGCGCUCUGCUUUUGCUAUUCCCACAUCCAGUUUAGGAAAAAAAUUAUCACCUGCUAAUUACCCAAAGAAAAAAUAAGCAUAAGCUCAUUUAGAAAAUAUUUUGCGAUUUUAAUCAUGACUGUGCACUUAAAAAACAGAUGAUGAUGAUGAUGAUGAUGAUAGUAAUGAUAAUUUUUUAAAAGCUGCUGGAUGAUGAUGACGAUGAUGACGAUGAUGAUGAUGAUAUGAUGAUGAUGACAAUGACAAUGAUGAUGAUAG
rnacentral:lncRNA from 1 species